rnacentral:rRNA from 1 species
UACGGAGGGUCCGAGCGUUAAUCGGAAUUACUGGGCGUAAAGGGUUCGUAGGUGGUUUAUUAAGUCAGAUGUGAAAGCCCAGGGCUCAACCUUGGAACUGCAUUUGAUACUGAUAGACUAGAGUAUGGUAGAGGAAUGAGGAAUUUCUGGUGUAGCGGUGAAAUGCGUAGAGAUCAGAAGGAACACCAAUGGCGAAGGCAACAUUCUGGACCAAUACUGACACUGAGGGACGAAAGCGUGGGGAUCAAAAAGG